AUGGCUUGGACCAUGUUCAAGUUGUACAGGGAAAGGAAAGAAAUGUAACAUUACUCACAUCCUGUGUUUUAAAAUAAAAUCAUAUUGCUAACCACUUUAUGACUGUGAUUCAAAGCAGGGCUACCUUCCUUCCCACCCCUGUAGAGACCAUGGUGAAGUGGAUUUUUAACUCCUCCUUUGCCACGCACCACACGCAUCACCUCCAAGAGAGCUGAGUACAGUGUUAAGACAGUUACACUAUGCUUCGGAGCUGUGUUCACUGCUGCUUCUUUUGGCCCAUGAACAGUUUGUUAGAUCAGGUGAGCUGAAUCCUGCAUGGAAGACGGUCAAUGAAAAACCAGUGCGUAGACUGCCAUCUACUGGACAACCAGAAAACAAACUGCUGAGUCGCCCUAGGACCUUGAGCAACAAAGGCAAAAAGGCAAAAUUAUGAAUACAUCAGUGGAACAGACAGGAGCAUGUAGGCACAACAAUGGUCCAGUUUGAAAUGAUUAUUUGCAAAAGAGUGUACAUUUCUACUUUCAAUGUUUGUACAGAGUCACUGGAGUUAUGACAAUAAAAUGAUUUUCAAAUUGUGAUUCCUUGAUACACCCAGGGAGCAGAGACGACUCAGAACUUCUAGUGACAUAUCAAAAACAGAUAUGAGGAAUGUUCCCUUCCCCAGAAUAAGAACAGAACGGUAUUCUCUUUAAUCACCAUGUUAUGAAGGUGUACAUGCUAAGCCUGGGGACCAUUCUGCCCAGUAAAGAGAACUUAGUACUCUCUAAGGACUUAGGCUCAGUCACACACUGGAUUACUAAUAAACACCCGUCUUU
rnacentral:lncRNA from 1 species